rnacentral:rRNA from 1 species
UACACGACCGUACCGCAAACCGACACUGGUGCGCGAGAUGAGUAUUCUAAGGCGCUUGAGAGAACUCAGGAGAAGGAACUCGGCAAAUUGACACCGUAACUUCGGAAGAAGGUGUGCCCUAUUAGUGUGAAGUGAACAACGGAGCAUGAAUGGGUUGCAAAAAAUCGGUGGCUGCGACUGUUUAUUAAAAACACAGCACUCUGCAAACACGAAAGUGGACGUAUAGGGUGUGACGCCUGCCCGGUGCUGGAAGAUUAAAUGAUGGGGUGCAAGCUCUUGAUUGAAGUCCCAGUAAACGGCGGCCGUAACAAUAACGGUCCUAAGGUAGCGAAAUUCCUUGUCGGGUAAGUUCCGACCUGCACGAAUGGCGUAACGAUGGCCACACUGUCUCCUCCUGAGACUCAGCGAAGUUGAAAUGUUUGUGAUGAUGCAAUCUCCCCGCGGAAAGACGGAAAGACCCCAUGAACCUUUACUGUAGCUUUGUAUUGGACUUUGAACAGAUCUGUGUAGGAUAGGUGGGAGGCUUUGAAGCCAGGACGCUAGUUCUGGUGGAGCCAACGUUGAAAUACCACCCUGGUGUGUUUGAGGUUCUAACCUAGGUCCAUUAUCUGGAUCGGGGACAGUGCAUGGUAGGCAGUUUGACUGGGGCGGUCUCCUCCCAAAGCGUAACGGAGGAGUUCGAAGGUACGCUAGUUACGGUCGGACAUCGUGACGAUAGUGCAAUGGCAUAAGCGUGCUUAACUGCGAGACUGACAAGUCGAGCAGAUGCGAAAGCAGGACAUAGUGAUCCGGUGGUUCUGUAUGGAAGGGCCAUCGCUCAACGGAUAAAAGGUACUCUGGGGAUAACAGGCUGAUACCGCCCAAGAGUUCAUAUCGACGGCGGUGUUUGGCACCUCGAUGUCGGCUCAUCUCAUCCUGGGGCUGUAGCCCGUCCCAAGGGUAUGGCUGUUCGCCAUUUAAAGAGGUACGUGAGCUGGGUUUAAAACGUCGUGAGACAGUUUGGUCCCUAUCUUCCGUGGGCGCUGCAGAUUUGAGGAAGCCUGCUCCUAGUACGAGAGGACCGGAGUGGACACACCUCUGGUGUAUCGGUUGUCACGCCAGUGGCAUUGCCGAGUAGCUAAGUGUGGAAGAGAUAACCGCUGAAAGCAUCUAAGCGGGAAACUCGUUUCAAGAUGAGAUCUGCCGGGGCCUUGAGCCCCCUAAAGAGUCGUUCAAGACCAGGACGUUGAUAGGUCAGGUGUGGAAGCGCAGUAAUGCGUUAAGCUAACUGAUACUAAUUGCUCGUGCGGCUUGAUC